rnacentral:rRNA from 1 species
AUUGAACGCUGGCGGCAUGCUUUACACAUGCAAGUCGAACGGCAGCGCGGGCUUCGGCCUGGCGGCGAGUGGCGAACGGGUGAGUAAUACAUCGGAACGUGCCCAGUAGUGGGGGAUAGCUCGGCGAAAGCCGGAUUAAUACCGCAUACGACCUGAGGGUGAAAGCGGGGGAUCUUCGGACCUCGCGCUAUUGGAGCGGCCGAUGGGAGAUUAGCUAGUUGGUGGGGUAAAGGCCUACCAAGGCGACGAUCUGUAGCUGGUCUGAGAGGACGACCAGCCACACUGGGACUGAGACACGGCCCAGACUCCUACGGGAGGCAGCAGUGGGGAAUUUUGGACAAUGGGCGAAAGCCUGAUCCAGCAAUGCCGCGUGUGUGAUGAAGGCCUUCGGGUUGUAAAGCACUUUUGGCGGGAACGAAAAGGACUGUGCCAAUACCACGGUUCGAUGACGGUACCCGGAGAAUAAGCACCGGCUAACUACGUG